UUGGCUUUGCAAAGUUUGCUAGUCCCUCGCUCCUCUACAAUACUCUGAUAUCCUGGAGCAGACUUUCUACUGCAGUGAGCCCUAUGGCUUGGUUUCUGCUGGUAGAAUUUGAUGUACACUCUCAGCAUUUUAAUCUUUAUUGUGAACACUGGGGGAGGUCAGUGUGACUUACACUAAACAGCUCUGACAGUGAGGAAGGUUUGAAGUGAGCGCUAUGCCGCCAACGUAACAGAACUGCACAAACGAAGCAGAGGUGCAAGAGGAUUUAUAGCUCUAUGCAAAGGAUGGAAAAUAAUUAUUUGAAAGCUGUUCACAGGAAUUUACUGGGCUUGAUGAAAGUUUUGUCUAUCAAGGGUGCUCAUGUCUGCAGGGGAAUUUCUGCUCAGCACAAGACAGAAUAACCCACCCCAGAAUAACCAGAUGAGUACUCACCGGAGCUUGGGUUAAAAAUGACAGCUCUAUUGUUCUUGCUUGAAGAGCACAUCACACGUGUUUCUGUCCCUGAAUGUGAUGCCAACACAUAUGAUCAAAUUAAAUCAGCCUGGCUCAAGUACAUUUUAGAAACAACACAGUGCUGAACAUGUGAAAUUAAAUGCCUCAAACCCCUCACCCAGCAACCCGCCACCUGCAGCUCUACUAACUAUAUGCACAUGGCCUGUGGCUUUCCCCCUACAUGAAGAGAAGAAGGAGCAGAAGUCAAUUCAUCUGAUGGAGUGUCCUGUUUCAUCUCAUCUUCAGAAAUGCAGUUGCUCAGCAAAAUUACAACUCAGAAAAACAAGAAAAGAAACCAGGAAAGCAAACAUAACAUAACAUUAUAUAACAGAUUGAAAGAACAGUAACAGAAGUAUCAGGGCUUUACCCUCCCCCCGCCCCCCCAAACGAGCACUGUUACUCAAAUUUGCUGGCUUUCACUGUGGAAAACCCUAGGUCUCCAUUCCCAAAGUAGUUUUGGCAAUGCGUGGGGUAGGAGCUGGUGACCCUCUGCUAUGGCAAUGCAUGCUAGACAACAUGUGAAUUCUUAGACAGGACAGAGUCAUUCAAAGUAUCCAUUGGAACAAGUCAAACCCUGAAGUGCAGAAGUUUAAAUACCACAUUUUGUGCCUUUGGGAGAACCCUGCAGCAGAGA